rnacentral:rRNA from 1 species
UACGGAGGGUGCAAGCGUUGUCCGGAUUUAUUGGGUUUAAAGGGUGCGUAGGUGGCUUGUUAAGUCCGGGGUGAAAGCCCACAGCUCAACUGUGGAACUGCCCUGGAUACUGGCGAGCUUGAGUCCAGACGAGGUUGGCGGAAUGGAAGAUGUAGCGGUGAAAUGCAUAGAUAUCUUCCAGAACCCCGAUUGCGAAGGCAGCUGACUAGGCUGGUACUGACGCUGAGGCACGAAAGCGUGGGGAGCGAACAGG